GGAAGAACUUAAAUUCUUUGAAGGCAAUUCUCCAUGCAAGGGAAAAGUGCGCAUCGAGAAAUUAGAUGGUACUGAGCCUGACUGGCUGCCUGCAAAACCAGUGGAAGAGAAUAAGAAAAAAGCCACUGACAUAUGCAGUGCAAUGCAGUGUGGAUCUCUGGUCUCCUUUGAAACAGAGCAAAACACCGAAUAUGCCAAAGUCACAUGUUCAGGGUCAAAGAGAGUGGAGCCUCGAGUGGCACUUCAAAACCCGUUUGGAGAAAAAUGCUGGGGAAUGGUGAAGGUCUGCGGAGAUGGCAAGUGUGGAGGGGUUUGCAGCAACACUUGGAGAACAAAUGAAGACUCCAAAAUGAUCUGUGAGAACCUGGAGUGUGGAAAUCCAAUUCGGGCCCAGUUACCACUUCAGAUAAAUAAUCUACCUGCCACUUACCGUAGUGUGUACUGCUCAGAAAAAGUACAAAAUAUGAACAUGUGCAAUUUUAUUCCCAAUGAAAACUCCAUCUGUGAACCCCUAGCCCAAGUGAUAUGCACAGACAGCGUCAAAGCUAAAUUGGAGGAUCCAAGAGACAAAUGCGCUGGAAAAGCGUCACUGUUUUACGCUGGGAAGUGGACACCCAUCUGCCAAGACAGUCUUGAUACAAACCUUAAAAAUGUAAUCUGCAAGGAACUAUUUUGUGGCGAGAGCAUAAAUGACCAACAUGACUGGACUUCACAUGAAGAGUCUAAAUCCACAGGACUAUCAAGAAUUAAAUGUCCAGCUAGUGCCAACUCUGUUUCCAAAUGUGACCUCAAAGAGGUUUCAGAGAAAGAAUGUAUUGUUGGCUAUCUGAAAUGCACAGGUACUCACCUUUUUUAUUUUUGUGCAGACUUGAAGACAUUUCUCUAGUGAAGGAAAUUGUUGUGAUCUCAACUAAGUUUUCUCUUUCUUUCAGUCUGAUUUAUAUGCUUUUGAGAACAAAAGUACCAGCACUUUAGCCAAAGUUAGUUAGCGUGUUGCCAUAACAGAUGCAUAUGGACAAGGUGACUAGAUGUCUAUCUGAAUGUAAUAAUAACCAUAACAACCCAUGACUUGAGUAACAACCUGAAGUAAUCAGAAAUCAGAUUUGCUUUGCCUGUGGGUUUUCCUGAAUUGCACACAAAGAACCAAUUAUGUUAGAGAUAAAUGAUGCCAAGAAGGCUUGGUUCUCCAUUGCGGUCAGACAAGUCACCUGAGGAUAAUUGAAC
ensembl:lncRNA